rnacentral:misc_RNA from 1 species
UCUCCGUAGGUGAACCUGCGGAGGGAUCAUUACUGAGUGAGGGUCUCCGGGCCCGACCUCCAACCCUUUUGUGAACCACCUCGUUGCUUCGGGGGCGACCCUGCCGUUCGCGGCGUGGGGCCCCCGGUGGACCACCCAACCCUGCAUCGUUGCGUCUGAGUCGAAAUAUAAAAAAAUCAAAACUUUCAACAAAGGAUCUCUUGGUUCUGGCAUCGAUGAAGAAAGCAGC